UACAUAUUCACUCAAUAAAACAAUUGAAGUAUUGCAAAGAAAAAAAACCAAACCACUGUUUGCCAUUGUAAUUUCCUUGGAAGAUUAUAUCACUCAAGGAAUAUAAUUCUUUGUUAUUUAAAUCUGGUUUAUAACUAUCACUGCUUUCCUUUCCACAGAAUACAGUUUGACUUCACAGCCUGAAAACAACAAAAUAUCAUUUAUUUCUGUCUGUCGCUGUGCAGUCUCACUUGGACAUUAAAAUCUCUUCAAGUCUUUAAUUUUCCUAUUCCUUUCAAUCCCUCACUUCAAUAUUACAACAUUUGCAAAGACGGAGGAAUUACUGUAGCACUGGAUUCCCUUGACCUGCUGAAAGGAAAAGGAUGGCAACUCAAGCAGAAUAAGUAAGAGAAGAGUGUGACAACCUGCCAUUGCCUAAUGAAGCUGGGACAUUAAAGGUACUCAAUCAAGGUAUUUUAUGAGUACACCUGGAUUCUUUUUAUUAAAAAGGCAUUUAUCUAAUGAUGCAUAGC
rnacentral:lncRNA from 1 species